rnacentral:misc_RNA from 1 species
CACGGGCAGCGCAGUGGGACAAUGGGGGAACCCUGAUCCAGCCAUCCCGCGUGUGAUGAAGGCUCAAGGUUGUAAAGCACUUUUUGGCAGAAGAAACGGCACGAUAAUACCCUGCGCAACUGACGGUACCGCACAAGCACCGGCUAACUACGCCAGCACAGCGGUAAUACGUAGGUGCAAGCGUUAAUCGGAAUUACUGGGCGCAAAGCGCAGGUUCGGAAAGAAAGAUGUGAAAUCCCAGAGCUUAACUUUAACCUGCAUUUUAAUCAACAGCCAGAGUGUCAGAGGGAGGUGGACAGGCGUGUAGCAGUGAAAGUGUAGAUAUGUGAUGGCGAAGGUGCCUCCCUGGGAUAACAUCGCUCAUAUCAAAGCGUGGGGAGCAAACAGGAUUAGAUACCCUGGUAGU